AUUGAACGCUGGCGGCAGGCCUAACACAUGCAAGUCGAGCGGAGCGGCGGAAGGGUGAGUAAUGACGAGGAAUCUGCCUGGUAGUGGGGGAUAACGUCCGGAAACGGGAGAGAAGACCGCAUAAUAUCAGAUGAGCCUAGGUCGGAUUAGAUAGUUGGUGGGGUAAAGGCCUACCAAGGCGACGAGGCAUAGCCGACCUGAGAGGGUGAUCGGCCACACUGGAACUGAGACACGGUCCAGACUCCUACGGGAGGCAGCAGUAGGGAAUAUUGCACAAUGGGCGCAAGCCUGAUGCAGCCAUGCCGCGUGUAUGAAGAAGGCCUUCGGGUUGUAAAGUACUUUCAUCGGGGAGGCGUUACCCGCAUAAGAAGCACCGGCUAACUCCGUGCCAGCAGCCGCGGUAAUAC
rnacentral:rRNA from 1 species